rnacentral:rRNA from 1 species
GACGAACCGUGCGAACGUUGUUCGGAAUCACUGGGCUUAAAGGGCGCGUAGGCGGCUUGUCAAGUCAGGGGUGAAAUCUUUCGGCUCAACCGGAAAAGUGCCUUUGAUACUGACAGGCUCGAGGGAGGUAGGGGUAUGUGGAACUUCCGGUGGAGCGGUGAAAUGCGUUGAUAUCGGAAGGAACGCCGGUGGCGAAAGCGACGUACUGGACCUCUUCUGACGCUGAGGCGCGAAAGCUAGGGGAGCAAACGGG